GGCGCCAUCGUCUAGUGGUUAGGACGCCAGGUUUUCAUCCUGGAAACCGGAGUUCGAUUCUCCGUGGCGCUACCA
rnacentral:tRNA from 1 species